rnacentral:rRNA from 1 species
AGAGUUUGAUCCUGGCUCAGAACGAACGCUGGCGGCAGGCUUAACACAUGCAAGUCGAACGCCCCGCAAGGGGAGUGGCAGACGGGUGAGUAACGCGUGGGAAUCUACCGUGCCCUGCGGAAUAGCUCCGGGAAACUGGAAUUAAUACCGCAUACGCCCUACGGGGGAAAGAUUUAUCGGGGUAUGAUGAGCCCGCGUUGGAUUAGCUAGUUGGUGGGGUAAAGGCCUACCAAGGCGACGAUCCAUAGCUGGUCUGAGAGGAUGAUCAGCCACAUUGGGACUGAGACACGGCCCAAACUCCUACGGGAGGCAGCAGUGGGGAAUAUUGGACAAUGGGCGCAAGCCUGAUCCAGCCAUGCCGCGUGAGUGAUGAAGGCCUUAGGGUUGUAAAGCUCUUUCACCGGUGAAGAUAAUGACGUAACCGAGAAGAG